CAGCUACUUAAAACCAGACGGAUCCGGAAGUCCCACCUCUUCCCUUCCAGACGGAGGCGCGAGCAGAGCUCUCUGCGUCGGGGCUGAGCUUCAUUGCGGAGAUGUGAAAUCUCCGCUGCCUACUACAGAUGGCCAAAUAUUGGUUCCCAGCAGUUCGACUUUGACAUCGUGUUUCUUGCCUUUUCAGAAGUCGUGCUGAGGUCACGGGGACACCUGAUCGAAUUCUGCACCAAUCGAGCGAUGUGAAGUUGAACUUUGGGCUUCAUCGAAUUUGCAGAGGGAUGCCCAGUUAACUAGCUUCUACUAAUUGCCUCAUUUGAAAGGUCAUUGAGCUGUUGGAUCAGUUGGCAGAUAUCUGCAGCAAUUUACCACAUUUUGUAAUAAAACUUUCUGAAAGAAA